GUGCACACGGCUCCAUCUGUUGUCUUACGAGCGCCAGGCCGCCCUUGCCCGUGCUUUCUGCUCUGCAGACCCUCUUCCUAGGCCUCCGUCCUUUGUCCCCUCGCUGCCUUCCCUUCAAGCUCAGGGUCAAGCUGUCCGCCAGCCUCGGCUCCUCCGGGCAUCCCUCGGCCUGGGUGCGCCCCGGGGCAGGACCCCCAGCCCAGGCCCAGGGCCCGCCCCUGCCCUCCAGCCUACACCUUGACCUUCUUUCCUGCGUCUCUCAGCAUACCUCACCUUGUCUUUACCUCUGUGGGCAGCUCCCUUGUGAUCUGCUUGGUUCCCACCCCGCUUUAAGAAUUAAAUAGAGAAGCCAGACGCAGAAGUACAGAUAUCGUAUGAGUCCACUUUUGUGAGGUGCCUAGAAUAGUCAAAAUUCAUAGAGACAGAGCAGUGGUCGCCAAGAAUGGGGAAGCAAGGCGGAGCCGGGCAGCUCAAUGGUGUUCAAUGGUUUUGUCCGCCUUCCCUGCCCCCUCUUCUGGGGCAGUUGGAUCGAGCUGUAACAGAACAUGCCACUGUCUCACUGGCUGCAGCGUGUGGUCCCCUCACCAGAGUGAGGAUGCAAAGAGAAGGUGGCUGUCUGCAAACCAGGAAGAGAGCCCUCACCAGGAACCCGUCCAACUGCCACCUUGAACUUGGACUUCCAAGCCUCCAGAACUGUGAGGGAUAAAUGUAUGAUUUUAAAG